GCACUGUGAGCAGGAGACUGACACCAUUCUGCUCUCCUGGGAGCUGCAGUGAAGGAAACCCAGGACCUGACAAACUGGCAGAAGGAACAGAAGCCUAUGAUGCAGAUGUGGCCAAUCAGUGCCCUGGGGCUCCAGCAGCAGUGCAGGAAUGCGGAACUGAUCAUAAAGAUCCAACCAGCAUGAAGAAAUUCUGACACUGGAGGAAGGGCUACCGGGAGAAAACAUUUCUCUUUUCCCCAGCCAGCUGUCAGCUAGCCUGAGAGAAUGUGAGGCUGGGGCUACCAUCUUGCCACUAUGAAGAGAGAACCUGCUGAGCAAGGAGGCAACACAGAGCCAGAUAUGGAGAGAAAUAAGCAGUCUUGGAAUGCUGUUUC
rnacentral:lncRNA from 10 species